rnacentral:tRNA from 1 species
GCAUCGGUGGUUUAGUGGUAAAAUUAGCCGUUGCCAUUCAGUUUCGGCUAGCCCCGGGUUCGAUUCCCGGCCGAUGCA